GAGAGAGAGAGAGUGUGUGUGUGUGUGUGUGUGUGUGUGUGUGUGUGUGUGUGUGUGUGUGUGUGUGCGCGCGCGUGCCACCCUCAUUUCUGUGCUGCCUCUGGAGGUGGGUCUGAUCACCCUACCAAGAGCAGCCAUGCAGGAGAAGGACAACUCCUGUCCCUCCCAAGCACAGCUAGGAGCUCCAGGGCUCCCAGCAGCGGGGGAGAUCAGAUUUCACGGGGGAGGGCUGAUUUCGCAGUCCGUAACACGUUUUUCAUGGCCAUGAAAUUGGUAGGGCUCUAGCCAUUACUCCUUAAUUUGGAUGAGUGUUUUGAGUGGUUUGGAAAAAAUUCCAAUGUUUCCAGUUGUUUGAAGCAGCAACUUUAUUGGUAAACAAUAUAUACAACUUAGUUUAGUUUCUGUUACACUGUUUUAAAACUGGAGCAACUCCAUUGACUACACCAUAUUUAUGCAAUUGAAAGUGAGAGCAGAAUCUGGCCCAGUUUUCUUUCAUUUUGUCCUGUGCCUUGUUUCCUAAUUUUCUGGAGUAUUUGAACCUCUUUUCCCUUGCAGAUGCUAGACUAGUCUAAGUGGUUCCAAGCCUACUGGUUUCACAACAGAGCUAGAAAAACUUGCUUCCACAGUCCUUUGCUUGGGCAGGCCCUGAACUUCAUCCACAAUGAAUCACUCUGUUGUUUCCUCUUGGGGCAAAGGCAACUCCCAGGAAACUUUAUACUUAAAAGAGCAGAAUGACAACCAAAGAACUGCAUUCUUCAAUACUAACUGCACCGAUCAGGGGGCAAGGCUACAGUAUGCACAACUUUUCAAUCAGCGGAGGUGACCAAAGAAUCCACUGACAAGCUACAGGUGCGUACUCACUGACACUUUUAGCAGGACUACAGUAUACCCCACUCAGCAACUGGAUGAGGUAAACCCAGAGCCGGGUUGCAGCAAUAUGUGGAAUCUUUACCCUCAGAGAGCAGCAUAACUAUACGGGUAUCUCCAGAUCAGGUAGAGUACUGCUGCAAUGCUGUUGAAUGUAGGAGGCAGGCAUAUCAUUGGUUUCAAUGAAACAUUAACAGGGACCAUGAUAUCACAGUGAGUUUAGUGAAGGACGGGCAGACAAAUAAUUAAAGCCUGUACCCAGUAAGGGGUGUGUGUGUGAGGGGGGUAGGGAGAUCUUCUUGGACUUCUAUUAUAAAGGAUGAAGUUAUAGCUGAUUCAUUUAAAUGACCCUUUCUGGCAUCCUGGCUCUUGUGCUAACUUAAGAAAUCAUUCUAAUUUGGACCCUCUUGUUCCUGUUUCUUUGGAAAGCAGCCUUACUCCUACAUGCAAGGAUUCUGAAAGGAUAGAUGCUUGAGUGUAUAUACAUGAUCAUCUGGGUAAAAAGUCUCUUCUGUAAUUAGUGUCUUAGAUAAUUACACAAUUACUUUACUGUGUAGCACCAACAAUAAAAACCUUAAAUAUUUUUAUCA
rnacentral:lncRNA from 1 species